rnacentral:lncRNA from 1 species
CAUAGGUUUUUAUUUUUUUCUGAAUUAGAAGCUAAUAUUAGAAUAUUUGUUACAGCUUCUAUUUUCUACUUAUUGGCAAAAAAUAUUUUUAAAAACUGAAAGAAGUUGAUUUUUGAAAAGCUUAUAUUUUGAUAUUUUUCAAUAUUUUCUUUUGAAUAAUUAGAUUUUAAUAUAAGUUUAGCUGGAAAAAACAUAACUUAUGAAAAGUUGCACCAACAUAUGGUUACAACUUAUUAUUAGUUUUUAAGUUUAAAAUCUAAAACUUUAUAAUUUGAAAAGUUACCUUAUAAACGAUACCAAACAUGCCCUUUACCUUAAGAUUUGUAUAAUCACUGAAUGGAAAAACACAAAGGUAGAUGUAAAGUCAUUGUCUAAUUGAUUGAUAAAAAUGUUGAAGUGUCUAUACACUUGAUGAAGAUGAUGAACCCAGUCCUAUAAUUAUGGGAUGCCGAAGAAAUCAACUGAUUUAACGCUAUGAUGAGAAGAAUAAAAGUGUCCAUUUUCAAUUGGUAAAUGGGGUUUUAUUUUCAAUUGUUAGAAUUUUCUUGAGUACAAAGCUACAAUUUAAUUAAAUUUAGAGUAGAGUAGUUUUAAUGUAAACGUCAUUGGAUGCACAUAAAUGAAAGAUUUUGGCCGUUUAACGAUAAAAUGAUAAUUUUAACACCUUUCCGUAGUUGAUGUAAAGGUCAUUGAGUGCACGUAAAUCAAAGAUUUUAGCCGCUUAACGACAAAAUGAUAAUUUUAGCACCUUUCCGGCAAUGAGAUUUUGGGUUUGCUCUACCGACGUUCGAUUAGAAAUGACAUAAGGAGAAAAACACAUAUUUUUACUGUGAUUAAAGGUUGACUUUGGUAAAAUUUCAUCAUUUAGGAUCUAACUGUGGCAAAUUUAAUAUUUUAAGAAAUUUGCAAUUUGUCCUUUUGUUCUUACCCGCAUCCUUGCAAUACCUUCACCAUUAACUGAUUUAAAAAAUGGGUUUUUCAAGAAAACUAAUAUAUUUAAUUUAUUUUCGUAAUUUUCUAAAUCAACCCAAAAAAUUACGAGUGAGAUUUGUCAAUAUAUAAGACAUAAUUCAAAUGGUGAUAUUUCUUUUAUCUGUCCCUUGAUUUGAAGCAUUUUGACUUUACAAAGGGAAAUAAUUCUCCUCAAACUUCAAAAUAAAAUGACAUUUUGUCGAGAUAAUUAUUAAAAAAAUCACUUCAACUUGGAUCUUUAUAGGAGCUAAAGUGACACCUAUCAAUGGUCUGGAGGAGUGUCGGGCAAUGGUGGGAUCGAUUAUCGACGAUGAUGACGGCGGAAGUGGCACGUGUUGAUGGUAGCUAGGCUGUGUGUAAAGAUAAACUAGGUCUAGGAAUAGUUGAGGAUGAGGGUAUUUUGGAGUUAAUAAGGCUACAAAAAUUUUCUUUUUGUAUAUUAAAUAAUUAUGACGCAUAUGUGAUGUGUGUAUAUUUCUUACAUUAUGAAUUUUAGUAUAAUUUGGCUCAUUUAAAUUAAUUGGACCACUUAUAGGGUAGUUGGGCCUAAGUGUAUUUAAUCUUGGGUUUGAUAAGUUGGAUAACUUGAAAAAUCAUUGGGUUUGGAAAUCAUGAGUUGAAAAAGCACGUGUUGAUAUGAAUGAAUGCAUAGUUUAUUGCAUCAUGUUUUCAUCAUAUAUAUAUAUAUAUUUUUGACUUGAAACAUCAAGCCCAUUGUUAAAUCAUUUCAAGGUAACUCAGCUUUACUAUUAAAUAAAUUUCAGGUACUGAGAUCUAUCCUAAUUCUUGAGGCAUGUGGAUGCCGUUUGUCUAUUUUGUUUAGAGAUCUUAUUAAUGUAUAUUUUUGAAAAAUUGUAAUAUUCUUUUAGUCCAGUGUGAACAUUGUCCAUGGAUUAUUACCCUUGUCUUGUACUUGAUAGCUCAUGGAGAGCAUGAUCCCACGGGAGGGACUAAUUAUACUCUGAUGUUAUGACAGUAUGUUGUCAUAUUGUUUUAUUUUGAUUCUCUUCAUUGAUGUGUUUGAUCACAUGUACGGGUCUUGUUUUAUCGGAGCGUGACAACAUGAUAUCAAAACUUAAGGUUCGAAUACUUACGAGUCGUGGGUGGUUAAGCCACAUUUGUUUUCGUGUCUAGUUAUUGAGGAGUGACAUGAGAGUAUCAUAUAUGUAAUUGAAAUAACGUGAACGUGCAUGCUACGUGUUAUUAAUUUACAUAUUGUAGAGUAAAUGUUUUGCCUAAAUCAUAAAUAAAUAUGAUUGUCUUGUUGUUUUCUUGUGGCAUUGUGUAGAACAUGCCACCACGUCAAGUUAGAGGCUUUGCUAAGUCACUGCUUAGAGCUCGUGGGACUCGCGAAGGUAAAGCUCGCGGGGAACAUGAAGAGGGUGAUGGUGAAAACCAUCAAGAGUCCGUGAUGGGAGGAGAAGCCAUUACUCCUAAAGAGAACGUUGGAGGUACUAGAGGUGCUCCCCCUGCGACAUUUGGUGGUGUUGGAUUUAUGUAAGGGAUGUGCACUGCCAUUGAGCAAGUG